rnacentral:lncRNA from 10 species
GUUCGGUGCAGCUGCCAGAUCCGCUGAUCUAGUGCUUCUCGAAAAAAACCUUCAGGCGGCCCAUGGCAUAAGGAGAAGGAAGUAAAAAGUCUGCUUGAAUGUGAAAGGAGAGAAGGCACUGUAGACCAGGCAGUCUAGAUUGUGAAUUCGUGAAUAAUUUGGGAAAUGAUUGUUCAAGAAUAGUCAAAAGAUGCAUAAUUUUUCAAAUUAAUUCACAUGUAGACCGCAGUUUGUUUUGAGACGGAGUCUCCUUCUGUAGCCCAGGCUGGAGUGCAGUGGCGCGAUCUCGGCUCACUGCAACCUCUGCCUCCUGGGUUCAAGCGAUUCUCCUGCCUCAGCCUCCCCAGUAGCUGGGACUACAGGCGCGCGCCACCACGUCAGGCUAAUUUUUGUAUUUUUAGUAGAGACGGGGUUUCACCAUUUUGGCCAGGCUGGUCUGGAACUCCUGACCUCAUGAUCUGCCCACCUCGACCUCCCAAAGUGCUGGGAUUACAGGCGUGAGCCACCUCACCGAGCCUGUUUGUUUGUUUUAAUCAAUGAAUGAAUGAAGGGAAUCAGAUGUCACUGAUG